rnacentral:rRNA from 1 species
AGUCGAACGAGAAUCUAUGGAAAGAGGAUUCGUCCAAUUGAAAUAGAGGACAGUGGCGGACGGGUGAGUAACGCGUGAGGAACCUGCCUUUCAGAGGGGGACAACAGUUGGAAACGACUGCUAAUACCGCAUAACACAUAGGAGUCGCAUGGCUCUUAUGUCAAAGAUUUAUCGCUGAAAGAUGGCCUCGCGUCUGAUUAGCUAGUUGGUGAGGUAACGGCCCACCAAGGCGACGAUCAGUAGCCGGACUGAGAGGUUGAACGGCCACAUUGGGACUGAGAUACGGCCCAGACUCCUACGGGAGGCAGCAGUGGGGAAUAUUGGGCAAUGGGCGCAAGCCUGACCCAGCAACGCCGCGUGAAGGAAGAAGGCUUUCGGGUUGUAAACUUCUUUUGUCAGGGACGAGCAGAAGACGGUACCUGACGAAUAAGCCACGGCUAACUACGUGCCAGCAGCCGCGGUAAUACGUAGGUGGCAAGCGUUGUCCGGAUUUACUGGGUGUAAAGGGCGUGUAGCCGGGUCGGCAAGUCAGAUGUGAAAUCCACGGGCUUAACUCGUGAACUGCAUUUGAAACUGUUGAUCUUGAGUAUCGGAGAGGCAAUCGGAAUUCCUAGUGUAGCGGUGAAAUGCGUAGAUAUUAGGAGGAACACCAGUGGCGAA